UUGAACGCUGGCGGCAGGCCUAACACAUGCAAGUCGAGCGGCAGCGGAAAGUAGCUUGCUACUUUGCCGGCGAGCGGCGGACGGGUGAGUAAUGUCUGGGGAUCUGCCUGAUGGAGGGGGAUAACUACUGGAAACGGUAGCUAAUACCGCAUAACGUCGCAAGACCAAAGCGGGGGACCUUCGGGCCUCGCGCCAUCAGAUGAACCCAGAUGGGAUUAGCUAGUAGGUGGGGUAAUGGCUCACCUAGGCGACGAUCCCUAGCUGGUCUGAGAGGAUGACCAGCCACACUGGAACUGAGACACGGUCCAGACUCCUACGGGAGGCAGCAGUGGGGAAUAUUGCACAAUGGGCGCAAGCCUGAUGCAGCCAUGCCGCGUGUAUGAAGAAGGCCUUCGGGUUGUAAAGUACUUUCAGCGAGGAGGAAGGCGGUAAGGUUAAUAACCUUACUGAUUGACGUUACUCGCAGAAGAAGCACCGGCUAACUCCGUG
rnacentral:rRNA from 1 species